GACGAAGGUGGCGAGCGUUGUUCGGAAUCACUGGGCAUAAAGCGCUCGUAGGCGGCGCUGCAAGUCGGGUGUGAAAUCCCUCGGCCUAACCGAGGAACUGCGCCCGAAACUGCAGUGCUUGAGGACCAAAGGGGUGCAUGGAAUUUCCGGUGGAGCGGUGAAAUGCGUUGAUAUCGGAAGGAACGUCGGCGGCGAAAGCGAUGCACUGGUUGGUUACUGACGCUGAGGAGCGAAAGCCAGGGGAGCAAACGGG
rnacentral:rRNA from 1 species